rnacentral:rRNA from 1 species
GAUGAACGCUGACAGAAUGCUUAACACAUGCAAGUCCACUUGAACUUCGGUUUGGGUGGCGGACGGGUGAGUAACGCGUAAAGAACUUGCCUCACAGAUAGGGACAACAUUUGGAAACGAAUGCUAAUACCUGAUAUUAUGAUUAUAUGGCAUCGUAUAAUUAUGAAAGCUAUAUGCGCUGUGAGAGAGCUUUGCGUCCCAUUAGCUAGUUGGAGAGGUAACGGCUCACCAAGGCGAUGAUGGGUAGCCGGCCUGAGAGGGUGAUCGGCCACAAGGGGACUGAGACACGGCCCUUACACCUACGGGAGGCAGCAGUGGGGAAUAUUGGACAAUGGACCAAGAGUCUGAUCCAGCAAUUCUGUGUGCACGAUGAAGUUUUUCGGAAUGUAAAGUGCUUUCAGUUGGGAAGAAAAAAAUGACGGUACCAACAGAAGAAGUGACGGCUAAAUACGUG